GACGAACGCUGGCGGCGUGCCUAACACAUGCAAGUCGAGCGGAGUCGAUCGACGGAAGCCUUCGGGCGGAGGAUGGUUGACUUAGCGGCGGAUGGGUGAGUAACGCGUGGGCAACCUGCCUCGAAGACCGGGAUAACAGUCCGAAAGGGCUGCUAAUACCGGAUGUGGUCAAGGAUCCGCAUGGAUUUUUGAUUAAAGGGGAAACCCGUUUCGAGAUGGGCCCGCGUCCUAUCAGCUAGUUGGUGAGGUAAAAGCUCACCAAGGCGACGACGGGUAGCCGGCCUGAGAGGGUGACCGGCCACACUGGAACUGAGACACGGUCCAGACUCCUACGGGGGCAGCAGUGGGGAAUCUUCCACAAUGGCGAAAGCCUGAUGGAGCGACGCCGCGUGAGCGAAAGAAGGCCCUGGUUGUAAGUACGUACUGUCUGUAGGGACGAAAGGGAAAGGUAGGAACGGGUAACCGUACCGGUAACGGGUAAACGGGACCGAACCGGGCGUAAACCGUUAAACCGUUAGGACCCGUACGACCGAACGCCGACCGGGUAAAAAUACCGUAAACGUCGUAACCUUAGUACGGAAC
rnacentral:rRNA from 1 species